CGGAAUGUGGCGUAGCUUGGUAGCGCGCCUGGAUGGGGUCCAGGAGGUCGCAGGUUCAAAUCCUGUCAUUCCGACCA
rnacentral:tRNA from 1 species